rnacentral:rRNA from 1 species
AGGACGACGCUGGCGGCGUGGAUUAGGCAUGCAAGUCGGACGGUAGAGCUUUAUCGUAAGAUAGAGUUUGAGAGUGGCGAACGGGUGAGUAACACGUAGGAAUCUACCCUUAAGACGGGGACAACCCAGGGAAACUUGGGCUAAUACCGGAUGAGAGUGCGAGAGAUUGCAUUUAAAAGGAUGGCGAAAGUUGUCGCUUAGGGAUGAGCCUGCGGUCUAUUAGUUAGUUGGUGAGGUAAGAGCUCACCAAGGCGAUGAUAGAUAGGCGGCCUUAACGGGUGGUCGCCCACACUGGGAUUGAGAUACGGCCCAGACUCCUACGGGAGGCAGCAGUCGAGAAUAGUCUACAAUGGACGGAAGUCUGAUAGUGCGACGCCGCGUGAACGAAGAAUCCCUUCGGGGUGUAAAGUUCUUUUAUACGUGAGCAGUGCCCUUUAUAUGAAUAGUAUAGAGGGAGGGAUUUAAGCGUAUGAAUAAGCAACGGCUAACUCCGUG